rnacentral:tRNA from 1 species
GCCAUCAUAGCUCAGCUGGUAGAGCACACCCAUGGUAAGGGUGAGGUCCGCAGUUCGACCCUGCGUGAUGGCU